rnacentral:rRNA from 1 species
GGGUUGUGAGGUUAAGCGACUAAGCGUACACGGUGGAUGCCCUGGCAGUCAGAGGCGAUGAAGGACGUGCUAAUCUGCGAUAAGCGUCGGUAAGGUGAUAUGAACCGUUAUAACCGGCGAUUUCCGAAUGGGGAAACCCAGUGUGUUUCGACACACUAUCAUUAACUGAAUCCAUAGGUUAAUGAGGCGAACCGGGGGAACUGAAACAUCUAAGUACCCCGAGGAAAAGAAAUCAACCGAGAUUCCCCCAGUAGCGGCGAGCGAACGGGGAGCAGCCCAGAGCCUGAAUCAGUGUGUGUGUUAGUGGAAGCGUCUGGAAAGGCGCGCGAUACAGGGUGACAGCCCCGUACACAAAAAUGCACAUGCUGUGAGCUCGAUGAGUAGGGCGGGACACGUGGUAUCCUGUCUGAAUAUGGGGGGACCAUCCUCCAAGGCUAAAUACUCCUGACUGACCGAUAGUGAACCAGUACCGUGAGGGAAAGGCGAAAAGAACCCCGGCGAGGGGAGUGAAAAAGAACCUGAAACCGUGUACGUACAAGCAGUGGGAGCACGCUUAGGCGUGUGACUGCGUACCUUUUGUAUAAUGGGUCAGCGACUUAUAUUCUGUAGCAAGGUUAACCGAAUAGGGGAGCCGAAGGGAAACCGAGUCUUAACUGGGCGUUAAGUUGCAGGGUAUAGACCCGAAACCCGGUGAUCUAGCCAUGGGCAGGUUGAAGGUUGGGUAACACUAACUGGAGGACCGAACCGACUAAUGUUGAAAAAUUAGCGGAUGACUUGUGGCUGGGGGUGAAAGGCCAAUCAAACCGGGAGAUAGCUGGUUCUCCCCGAAAGCUAUUUAGGUAGCGCCUCGUGAAUUCAUCUCCGGGGGUAGAGCACUGUUUCGGCAAGGGGGUCAUCCCGACUUACCAACCCGAUGCAAACUGCGAAUACCGGAGAAUGUUAUCACGGGAGACACACGGCGGGUGCUAACGUCCGUCGUGAAGAGGGAAACAACCCAGACCGCCAGCUAAGGUCCCAAAGUCAUGGUUAAGUGGGAAACGAUGUGGGAAGGCCCAGACAGCCAGGAUGUUGGCUUAGAAGCAGCCAUCAUUUAAAGAAAGCGUAAUAGCUCACUGGUCGAGUCGGCCUGCGCGGAAGAUGUAACGGGGCUAAACCAUGCACCGAAGCUGCGGCAGCGACGCUUAUGCGUUGUUGGGUAGGGGAGCGUUCUGUAAGCCUGUGAAGGUGUGCUGUGAGGCAUGCUGGAGGUAUCAGAAGUGCGAAUGCUGACAUAAGUAACGAUAAAGCGGGUGAAAAGCCCGCUCGCCGGAAGACCAAGGGUUCCUGUCCAACGUUAAUCGGGGCAGGGUGAGUCGACCCCUAAGGCGAGGCCGAAAGGCGUAGUCGAUGGGAAACAGGUUAAUAUUCCUGUACUUGGUGUUACUGCGAAGGGGGGACGGAGAAGGCUAUGUUGGCCGGGCGACGGUUGUCCCGGUUUAAGCGUGUAGGCUGGUUUUCCAGGCAAAUCCGGAAAAUCAAGGCUGAGGCGUGAUGACGAGGCACUACGGUGCUGAAGCAACAAAUGCCCUGCUUCCAGGAAAAGCCUCUAAGCAUCAGGUAACAUCAAAUCGUACCCCAAACCGACACAGGUGGUCAGGUAGAGAAUACCAAGGCGCUUGAGAGAACUCGGGUGAAGGAACUAGGCAAAAUGGUGCCGUAACUUCGGGAGAAGGCACGCUGAUAUGUAGGUGAAGUCCCUCGCGGAUGGAGCUGAAAUCAGUCGAAGAUACCAGCUGGCUGCAACUGUUUAUUAAAAACACAGCACUGUGCAAACACGAAAGUGGACGUAUACGGUGUGACGCCUGCCCGGUGCCGGAAGGUUAAUUGAUGGGGUUAGCCGCAAGGCGAAGCUCUUGAUCGAAGCCCCGGUAAACGGCGGCCGUAACUAUAACGGUCCUAAGGUAGCGAAAUUCCUUGUCGGGUAAGUUCCGACCUGCACGAAUGGCGUAAUGAUGGCCAGGCUGUCUCCACCCGAGACUCAGUGAAAUUGAACUCGCUGUGAAGAUGCAGUGUACCCGCGGCAAGACGGAAAGACCCCGUGAACCUUUACUAUAGCUUGACACUGAACAUUGAGCCUUGAUGUGUAGGAUAGGUGGGAGGCUUUGAAGUGUAGACGCCAGUCUGCAUGGAGCCGACCUUGAAAUACCACCCUUUAAUGUUUGAUGUUCUAACGUUGACCCGUAAUCCGGGUUGCGGACAGUGUCUGGUGGGUAGUUUGACUGGGGCGGUCUCCUCCUAAAGAGUAACGGAGGAGCACGAAGGUUGGCUAAUCCUGGUCGGACAUCAGGAGGUUAGUGCAAUGGCAUAAGCCAGCUUGACUGCGAGCGUGACGGCGCGAGCAGGUGCGAAAGCAGGUCAUAGUGAUCCGGUGGUUCUGAAUGGAAGGGCCAUCGCUCAACGGAUAAAAGGUACUCCGGGGAUAACAGGCUGAUACCGCCCAAGAGUUCAUAUCGACGGCGGUGUUUGGCACCUCGAUGUCGGCUCAUCACAUCCUGGGGCUGAAGUAGGUCCCAAGGGUAUGGCUGUUCGCCAUUUAAAGUGGUACGCGAGCUGGGUUUAGAACGUCGUGAGACAGUUCGGUCCCUAUCUGCCGUGGGCGCUGGAGAACUGAGGGGGGCUGCUCCUAGUACGAGAGGACCGGAGUGGACGCAUCACUGGUGUUCGGGUUGUCAUGCCAAUGGCACUGCCCGGUAGCUAAAUGCGGAAGAGAUAAGUGCUGAAAGCAUCUAAGCACGAAACUUGCCCCGAGAUGAGUUCUCCCUGACCCUUUAAGGGUCCUGAAGGAACGUUGAAGACGACGACGUUGAUAGGCCGGGUGUGUAAGCGCAGCGAUGCGUUGAGCUAACCGGUACUAAUGAACCGUGAGGCUUAACCUUACAACGCCGAAGCUGUU